UACGGAGGAUCCGAGCGUUAUCCGGAUUUAUUGGGUUUAAAGGGUGCGCAGGCGGGAGAUUAAGUCGGCGGUGAAAUUUUGCAGCUCAACUGUAAAAGUGCCUUCGAUACUGGUUUCCUUGAGUGUAGAUGAAGUAGGCGGAAUUUGUGGUGUAGCGGUGAAAUGCUUAGAUAUCACGAGGAACUCCGAUUGCGCAGGCAGCUUACUAAACUACUACUGACGCUCAGGCACGAAGGCGUGGGGAUCAAACAGGAUUAGAUACCCGCGUA
rnacentral:rRNA from 1 species